AGGAUUGUUUGGUUUUUUGCUCACGAAAAACCCUAUUCCUUCAUUUUGAGUAGUUAACAUUGAAGAAGAGGGAAAUGUGUUUGCAACAGUGGACAUGUCAUAAGCUGUUUUCGUAAGUUCUCCAAAACAGUCUUACAAAUGCUUAUGCUAAUAGAUAAACUCAAAAUAAGCCAAUCCAAACAUGACCUAAGUCUAUAUUUUGGUGUAUAUAUAUAUAUAUAUAUAUAUAUAUAUAUAUUUUGAGAUUUAAGUUAAUUGCAAGAAUAACAUAACAGAUGAUCAUAUACUAUUUUAAUCACGCUUCAUUUAUCUUUAGAAACAUUUUGUAGCUUCCUCAAUUAUUAAAAAAGGAAAAAUAAGUCAUCCCCUCCUACCCUUCAAAAUUUUACAUCCAUUCAUACCCUAAAUUUUUUGCGGUAUUAGGUAGUGAAAAAUCAUGUAUUGAAAGUGAGAAAUUGGUUUGUUUGUCUCAUUUUACUGUACUGAGUUGCAUGCAUUAUUUGUA
rnacentral:lncRNA from 1 species